rnacentral:rRNA from 1 species
ACGGGUGAGUAACGCGUAAAGAACUUGCCCUUUAGACUGGGAUAACAGAGGGAAACUUCUGAUAAUACUGGAUAAGUUAGUAUAUCGCAUGAUAUGCAAAUGAAAGCUACGGCACUAAAGGAGAGCUUUGCGUCCUAUUAGCUAGUUGGUAAGGUAAGAGNUUACCAAGGCGAUUAUAGGUAGCCGGCCUGAGAGGGUGGACGGCCACAAGGGGACUGAGAUACGGCCCUUACUCCUACGGGAGGCAGCAGGC